GAUGAACGCUGGCGGCGUGCUUAACACAUGCAAGUCGAACGGAAAGGCCCUGCUUUUGUGGGGUGCUCGAGUGGCGAACGGGUGAGUAACACGUGAGUAACAUGCACUUGACUUUGGGAUAACAUCAGGAAAAUGGGGCUAAUACCGGAUAGGAGAUCCUGCAGCACGGUGGGGGUUGGAAAGUUUCGGCGGUUGGGGAUGGUUUAGCGGCUUAUCAGCUUGAUGGUGGGGUAGUGACUUACAAAGGUUUUGACGGGUAGCCGGCCUGAGAGUGUGACCGGCCACAUUGGUACUGCGAGACGCACCAGACGCCAACGUUAGGCAGCAGUGGGGAAUAUUGCACAAUAGGCGGGAGCCUGAUACAGCGACGCCGCGUUCGUAAAGAUGUCUUUCUAGUGGUAAACCUCUUUCGCCGUAGACGAGGCGUUAGUGACGGUAAUUGGUAAAGAAGCACCGGCUAACUACGUG
rnacentral:rRNA from 1 species